CAGGCUUAACACAUGCAAGUCGAGGGGCAGCAUGGUCUUAGCUUGCUAAGGCCGAUGGCGACCGGCGCACGGGUGAGUAACGCGUAUCCAACCUGCCUUACACUCUUGGACAGCCUUCUGAAAGGGAGAUUAAUACAAGAUGUUAUCAUGAGUAAGCAUUUUCGCAUGAUUAAAGGUUUACCGGUGUAAGAUGGGGAUGCGUUCCAUUAGAUAGUAGGCGGGGUAACGGCCCACCUAGUCUUCGAUGGAUAGGGGUUCUGAGAGGAAGGUCCCCCACAUUGGAACUGAGGCACGGUCCAAACUCCUACGGGAGGCAGCAGUGAGGAAUAUUGGUCAAUGGACGAGAGUCUGAACCAGCCAAGUAGCGUGAAGGAUGAAGGUUCUAUGGAUUGUAAACUUCUUUUAUACGGGAAUAAACGAAUCCACGUGUGGAUUUUUGCAUGUACCGUAUGAAUAAGGAUCGGCUAACUCCGUGCCAGCAGCCGCGGUAAUACGGAGGAUCCGAGCGUUAUCCGGAUUUAUUGGGUUUAAAGGGAGCGUAGAUGGGUUGUUAAGUCAGUUGUGAAAGUUUGCGGCUCAACCGUAAAAUUGCAAUUGAUACUGGCAGUCUUGAGUACAGUUGAGGUAGGCGGAAUUCGUGGUGUAGCGGUGAAAUGCUUAGAUAUCACGAAGAACUCCGAUUGCGAAGGCAGCUUACUAACCUGUAACUGACAUUGAUGCUCGAAAGUGUGGGUAUCAAACAGGAUUAGAUACCCUGGUAGUCCACACGGUAAACGAUGAAUACUCGCUGUAGGCGAUAUACAGUCUGCGGUCAAGCGAAAGCAUUAAGUAUUCCACCUGGGGAGUACGCCGGCAACGGUGAAACUCAAAGGAAUUGACGGGGGCCCGCACAAGCGGAGGAACAUGUGGUUUAAUUCGAUGAUACGCGAGGAACCUUACCCGGGCUUAAAUUGCAACCGAAUAUGGCGGAAACGCUAUAGCUAGCAAUAGCGGUUGUGAAGGUGCUGCAUGGUUGUCGUCAGCUCGUGCCGUGAGGUGUCGGCUUAAGUGCCACAACGAGCGCAACCCUUGCCGAUAGUUACUAACAGGUCAUGCUGAGGACUCUGUCGGGACUGCCAUCGUAAGAUGUGAGGAAGGUGGGGAUGACGUCAAAUCAGCACGGCCCUUACGUCCGGGGCUACACACGUGUUACAAUGGGGGGUACAGAGGGCUGCUACCACGCAAGUGGAUGCCAAUCCCAAAAACCUCUCUCAGUUCGGAUUGAAGUCUGCAACCCGACUUCAUGAAGCUGGAUUCGCUAGUAAUCGCGCAUCAGCCACGGCGCGGUGAAUACGUUCCCGGGCCUUGUACACACCGCCCGUCAAGCCAUGGGAGCCGGGGGUACCUGAAGUGCGUAACCGCAAGGAGCGCCCUAGGGUAAAACUGGUGACUGG
rnacentral:rRNA from 1 species